rnacentral:lncRNA from 1 species
GUGUUUUGUAAAAUGUUUUUUUCCUUUUGGUCUUUUUUUUUUUUGCUGGAGCAGUUUAUUUUCUCCUCGCUUUAAAAAGUAAACCAAGGUACACUAGAGAAUAGAACAAAAUUGUCGAUGUGCAUUAUUGAUGUUUUGUAUUUUAAGACAACAAUUGCUAAAUAUGUAUUUGAUACAUUUUCUCAUGAAGGUUGCGUCUCUAUAUGCAAGACCAAGGGUUUCAAAUUAUAUAUUGAAUUAAUUAUCCUCAAAGCUUCUCAUGGGAAAAGGCGUUUUGCUUCUUUUGGGACUGACAUGUGAAAUAUGUAAGACGUUGAUGGUAACAGUUUAACUGUGACCCAUUACAAUAUAUGGCUGUUUAAAUGUAAUAUGACCUCCCUGUGACGUAAAUGAUCAAUAUAUUCUUGUAGGUGUAGCAGGGUAUGUAACCAUCUACUGGAUGAUGUCUGUAAACAAUGUUAAAU